UGGGGAAUAUUGCACAAUGGGCGCAAGCCUGAUGCAGCCAUGCCGCGUGUGUGAAGAAGGCCUUCGGGUUGUAAAGCACUUUCAGCGGGGAGGAAGGCGAUAAGGUUAAUAACCUCAUCGAUUGACGUUACCCGCAGAAGAAGCACCGGCUAACUCCGUGCCAGCAGCCGCGGUAAUACGGAGGGUGCAAGCGUUAAUCGGAAUUACUGGGCGUAAAGCGCACGCAGGCGGUCUGUCAAGUCGGAUGUGAAAUCCCCGGGCUCAACCUGGGAACUGCAUUCGAAACUGGCAGGCUAGAGUCUUGUAGAGGGGGGUAGAAUUCCAUGUGUAGCGGUGAAAUGCGUAGAGAUGUGGAGGAAUACCGGUGGCGAAGGCGGCCCCCUGGAAAAAGACUGACGCUCAGGUGCGAAAGCGUGGGGAGCAAACAGG
rnacentral:rRNA from 1 species